CACUGCCAGACUUUGUCGUGUGUCCUUCCUGCCGGCCAGGAGCGGACAUCGACAAAAAGUGUUUUAGAGACAUAAAAAAUAAGACUAAGCUCUAUCGAAGUCGUAAAAAACUCCAGAUAAAGUAUAAACCAUAAACAAAUGCAAUCUUAACAAGUCUGAACACAUGAAAGCUAAGGUCCAAACUGGGAUUAAAUACCCCACUAUGCUUAGCCAUAAACAUAAAACCUUACAUAACAAAAGUUUUCGCCUGAGAACCACUAGCAAUAGCUUAAAACUCAAAGGACUUGGCGGUGCUUUAUACCCACCUAGAGGAGCCUGUUCUAUAAUCGAUAAACCCCGAUAUGCCUCCCCACUCCUUGCUAAUUCGGCCUAUAUACCGCCAUCUUCAGCAAACUCAAUUAUGGAAACAAAGUAAGCAUAAAUAUAUCACAUAGAAACGUUAGGUCAAGGUGUAGCCAAUGGAGUGGGAAGAAAUGGGCUACAUUUCCUUACUGAAGAACAACAGAUGCAAGUCUUUAUGAAAUUUAAAGACCUAAGGAAGAUUUAGUAGUAAAUCAAGAAUAGAGAGCUUGGUUGAACUAGGCCAUGAAGCCCGUACACACCGCCCGUCACCCCCUCAAGUACCCAAGAGUUUUAUACAAACUAACAAAUACAAGAGGAGACAAGUCAUAACAAAGUAAGCAUACUGGGAAAGGGUGGGAGAAGCCCGGGCAGGAUUGAAGCUGCUCCUUU
rnacentral:ncRNA from 1 species